AGAACGAACGCUGGCGGCAUGCCUAACACAUGCAAGUCGAACGCUUUUGGGGCUUCGGUCCCAAAGGAGUGGCGCACGGGUGAGUAGCGCGUGGGAACCUGCCCUGGAGUGGGGGAUAACCGAGGGAAACUUCGGCUAAUACCGCAUACGCCGGGAAACCGGGAAAGAUUUAUCGCUCUAGGAGGGGCCCGCGUCGGAUUAGGUAGUUGGUGGGGUAACGGCCUACCAAGCCUACGAUCUGUAGCUGGUCUGAGAGGACGACCAGCCACACUGGAACUGAGACACGGUCCAGACUCCUACGGGAGGCAGCAGUGGGGAAUAUUGGACAAUGGGCGCAAGCCUGAUCCAGCCAUGCCGCGUGAGUGAUGAAGGCCUUAGGGUUGUAAAGCUUCUUUGUCAGGGAGAUAAUGACGGUACCUGAAGAAUAAGCACCGGCUAACGUUCGUGCCAGCAGCCGC
rnacentral:rRNA from 1 species